CCUACGGGUGGCAGCAGUGAGGAAUAUUGGUCAAUGGACGAGAGUCUGAACCAGCCAAGUAGCGUGAAGGAUGACUGCCCUAUGGGUUGUAAACUUCUUUUAUAUGGGAAUAAAAUGUUCCACGUGUGGGAUUUUGUAUGUACCAUAUGAAUAAGGAUCGGCUAACUCCGUGCCAGCAGCCGCGGUAAUACGGAGGAUCCGAGCGUUAUCCGGAUUUAUUGGGUUUAACGGGAGCGUAGGUGGAUUGUUAAGUCAGUUGUGAAAGUUUGCGGCUCAACCGUAAAAUUGCAGUUGAAACUGGCAGUCUUGAGUACAGUAGAGGUGGGCGGAAUUCGUGGUGUAGCGGUGAAAUGCUUAGAUAUCACGAAGAACUCAGAUUGCGAAGGCAGUUCACUGGACUGCAACUGACACUGAGGCUCGAAAGUGUGGGUAUCAAACAGGAUUAGAUACCCUGGUAGGC
rnacentral:rRNA from 1 species